rnacentral:rRNA from 1 species
AACGAACGCUGGCGGCAGGCUUAACACAUGCAAGUCGAACGGGUGUAGCAAUACAUCAGUGGCAGACGGGUGAGUAACACGUGGGAACCUUCCUAGGGGUACGGAACAACUCAGGGAAACUUGAGCUAAUACCGUAUACGUCCGUAAGGAGAAAAGAUUCAUCGCCCCUAGACGGGCCCGCGUCGGAUUAGGUAGUUGGUGGGGUAACGGCCUACCAAGCCUACGAUCCGUAGCUGAUCUGAGAGGANGAUCAGCCACACUGGGACUGAGACACGGCCCAGACUCCUACGGGAGGCAGCAGUGGGGAAUCUUGGACAAUGGGCGCAAGCCUGAUCCAGCCAUGCCGCGUGAGUGAAGAAGGCCUUAGGGUUGUAAAGCUCUUUUACCAGGGACGAUAAUGACGGUACCUGGAGAAUAAGCCCCGGCAAACUUC